UCUUGAAUUUCUGGUACUGAGUUGCUGCUGGAUCAUACGCACCGUGCUUUGCUUCAUGGACAGCUUCACCGCUGGCUCCUGAUCCAGAGAAACGCUGCAGGAGACACGAGAUCUUUCUGGAAAUCUGAGACAUAAAUCCCUGAUUUGGGAGGCUAGGUCAUUCAUUCUUUUGAUAAGAGAGGACAGUGUUUGUAUUUGAUUUUAAUUGUGCUGAGAUUAACUGAGUCACCAGUUAGUUGAACACGCUGAAGCCAGCUGUAACAAUACCAGGUUUCCAAUUCCGGCUACAGUGGACCAGUAAUUCAGGAAGUUCAGGAUAACAUUGAGAAUCUGUGUUUCUGAUUGUUCACAGUGUUACUGACAAGGUUUCUUAUCCAUGACCAUGUAUAGUCAUUAUUUCCAUUUUAUUCUAUGCAUUAUCACAAAACAAGAGUCUUUCCAUCACACCAACGUUGCACAUGGAGGGUAUAUGAGAUCUUGAAAGCCGCAGUCUUGUCCAGGUUGGUCCUGGAUCUCAGACGCUGACCUAUCUUUGUCCGCUUCCUCAUCUUGCUGGCUACGGCCACAGCCUGCCAAGCUGACUGCAUCUGCUAAUCCCAUUCCUUCGUGGGAAGGCCACUCCGGAGAUCGGAGGAAGUGACAAGAGGAGCUAAUGCCACAGCGAAUGUGGGACAGCCCUCCGUAACCAGGACAAAAUAAAGCAAACCCUACAGCAUUAAUUGCAUGGCUGUGUCAAGGAGACUUGAGAGGACAAGCAGCAGUGGGUAAGCAACGGCAAGGCUGCCAUUUGAUGUAUGUAGGUCUCCUACUCGGUAACCCUGGGCAGGAAUGAAGCUGGAGAAUCAAUUGGCAUCAGGACUAAAAUACUUGGGGCUACAGCCCCGUGUGAUCGGACCUAACAAUGCCCGUGGUUCUGUGUCGGGGAAUCAACAAACCUCUGGGCACAAGGUACUGCGGGGGAUGGGGGGCAUGUAUAAUUCAGCCUCAUUCAUCCUCUGCCAAAAAACAGACCUUUCUAUGUAAAUAAUUAACUGUUGACCCUCCCUUGUAUCAAACUCUCUCCUACAUCCUUUAGCUUGUGAUAAAAAUAGUGAAAAAGAUGUAUCAGCUAUGAUGGGCUGGCAAAAGAAGGUGUCAUACAGCCAGUCACUUAAGCUCUUCACACUGCGCUCAUCUGGACAGCAUCUCUGCAAAAGUGACAUUUAAGGAACUCUUUAAUGCCCAGUGCGGUUUGUGCCCCCUGUGAUUUACUGUUGCUGUCAACUUGCAAUUUAUUUGGUGAUGCCGUAGAUAUUUAUAUCGACGUUCCUCAAGACACCGGAACAAUCAGGAAGGCUGUUUGUGCGUCUCCGCGUAACUGAAGGCCAUGCAUCUUCAUCUUCUCAUCCAAACUGUUCACAGGGGAAUUUGGAUUUUGGAUUGAACUAUUUACCCUGCUUCUGUUUGCAGGUUCAAUAGCACAGUUUUCACUGUGGUAUCGUGAUAUUAGUUAGCAUUAGAGUAGGACGCAGUUAAAAUAUCUUUCAGAAGAAACGGAAGUGGUAUAUUUUUGUGAUGAUUGCCCUCAUUACACAGGUGGUCUAAUGGAAAAGUAACAAAAACAAAUACCACAUAUUUAUUGUUACAGUUGGAGUACAAUAACCCACCGACAAUUUCACUUUGGUUUAGUGAUCCGAUGUUGUUUUUAAAAACAGAAAAUUCCAAAUAUUUACUCUGAGGUUCUAACCAACGAUUUCUUACAGUUUGGGACCCUACGAUUUAAUACAUGGAGGAAGGUAAGACUGUGCCCCAAACCUCCUUUCUCCUUAGCAGGGACCUGCUCUUGAUGCCAUGUGUAAGAGUCGUUUAUCCGUAGCAUUAGCUGCAUGCUGAAAGCGAUCCUUAAUAAUAUGCUGUGCCUAAAUGUAGAGUGGGACCGUUUAACAUUUCCAUUUUUUAUUUUUAGAUUUAUUUAUUACUUUCUUCCUCCUGUUUUUCUGAAUGACUGUUUUUUCCACCAUAUAAGAGGAUUUAUUUUGAUCACGAUUACUAUCCAUAGGGUAGUUCUGUAUGUAUACUUUCCCACGAUAAAAAAAAGAAAAACUCCAUAUUAAUUAACACUGCGUAUUAAUUACUCAUUGUGGUUUUUCCCCUUUAAAACCAGUGCUGAGUAAUUAAAGGAGAUUCAAAUGUCACAAGCAUACAUACAGACGUGCCAAUUCAGCCAGCCGGUAGCCAGCACAUGACCUCACUUGUGACCUCAUUCUGGCGGAUUUCUGUCCAAUCAGAUUUCAUCGUGCGUGAGCUGGGUGAAUUCCUGCCCAUCCGGUUUUCCAGGUGGGCCCCCCAUAGGCCUCGAUUCUUAUCUCAGCUCCGCGGCAUUCAAGACAGCGGCGGAUCCACAAAAUCGGGCCCCAUCUUUUACGGUUUACCGUCCUCCAGCAAGACCAUGGACCGUGGAGGGAAGGUGUCUGAACAUAACAGUAACUGCAGCGAUGAACAAUCACAAAAAAAAAACAA